GGCGGCGUAGCUCAGCUGGUCAGAGCUGGAGAAUCAUAAUCUCUGAGUCAGGGGUUCGAGUCCCUUCGCCGCCA
rnacentral:tRNA from 1 species